AGACGGUACAUGUUUUGCAUUGGAUUGAGACAACGUACAAACCUUAUCGAUAAACAAUUGGAGGGCAAGUCUGGUGCCAGCAGCCGCGGUAAUUCCAGCUCCAAUAGCGUAUAUUAACGUUGUUGCAGUUAAAAAGCUCGUAGUUGAAAUGAAGGGUAGUUGUGUAAUGAAUACAUUCGUGUAUUUUGUUAUUCAACUACCCUCCUUCUAAAUUCGAUAUAUGAGUAUUAAUUUACUUGUAUAUGGUUUUAGACGUUUACUGUGAGAAAAUUAGAGUGUUCAAAGCAGGCAUUUGCUUGAAUAUAUUAGCAUGGAAUAAUCAUGUAUGAUUUUCAUGAUGUAUUUGAUUGGUUUGGUUCAUGAGAAUAAGAUUAAAAGGGACAGUUGGGGGUAUUCAUAUUCAAUAGUCAGAGGUGAAAUUCUCGGAUUUAUGGAAGAUGAACAAGUGCGAAAGCAUUUACCAAGGAUGUUUUCAUUAAUCAAGAACGAAAGUUAGGGGAUCGAAGAGGAUUAGAUACCCCGUUAAUUUCUAUAAAAAAAA
rnacentral:rRNA from 1 species